ACCUGGUUAUAUCCUGAGACAUUACCUGGUUAUAACCUGGUUAUAUCUUGCGACAUUACCUGGUUAUAACCUGGUUAUAACCUGGUUAUAUCCUGAGACAUUAC
rnacentral:miRNA from 1 species